rnacentral:lncRNA from 1 species
UGAGAAGUUGGUCCAUUGAUCCUUUCUACUGAAGGUAAUGCGUACCUCAGACCAUUUGAGAGGUGUGGGGGUGGCUGGUUCGAUAGCCAUGAUUUCUCUAAGUACUAAUUUGUUGGAUCGCUUAGAGGUAGUGCCUGGAAUUCCGCCGAAAAUGAUGUUGACAGUUUUAGACAUUGUCUGGAACUUGUCUUCGCCAUCUUCAGUUUCAUCCAUCUUACCCUUGCCUUUGUCCUUAUUGUUGUUAUUGUUAUUGUUGUUGGUGGGAGGUUCUGGCAACUCUUGCAUAACUCUGCGAAGGCUGUAGCAGUCUAUUGCAGUGUGCUUGCUGUGUGGGUGCCGUGGACAUUGUUUCUUGAGUAGUUCAUUGAAUGAAGGGCCAUCAUUUCAUUUGUUUGGUCCUUUCUUGCUUGAGUUUGACAUUGCUGCAAUGGUAUUGUCUGGUUUACGCUUGCGAUUCUGAUUGCCUGAAUAGUUGUUUCAGUGAUCGCCGUUCCGGUUUCUAUCUUGUUCUUGAUUGUUACCUUGGUUAUUGUUGUCACGUCUGUGAUUGCGAUGUAAGUCAAACCUUUCGUGUUCCUUAUCUUCUUGGUCUACCCAUGAAUGAGCCAUAAUUUUGAGUUCUUUGACAUCCGCUGGAUGGCGUCUCCAAAGUCUUGGAACAUGCAUCGGUCCCAGAGGCUGUUUUGAAAACAUUCUAUCAUGUCUGCUUCUGAGAUGUCGACAAUUGUAGCCUUUUUGUCGAAAAAACUGUAUAGGUAGUUGCACAGGGAUUCAUCCUUUUGCUGCUUAACCUGAGCCAAGUCAAUUCUAUUGUCAGAGCGCUGCAUAGCUCCAGCGUAGUUGCUUGUAAAAACUUUCUUUAGAUC